AAGUUUCAACAACGGAUCUCUUGGCUCUCGCAUCGAUGAAGAACGCAGCGAAAUGCGAUAAGUAAUGUGAAUUGCAGAAUUCAGUGAAUCAUCGAAUCUUUGAACGCACCUUGCGCUCCUUGAUAUUCCUCGGAGCAUGCCUGUUUGAGUAUCA
rnacentral:rRNA from 1 species